GGGCCAGGCGGAAGACAUUG
rnacentral:rRNA from 1 species